rnacentral:rRNA from 1 species
UACGUAGGCAGCAAGCGUUGUUCGGAAUUACUGGGCGUAAAGAGUGUGUAGGCGGUGCUCUAAGUUCGGUGUGAAAUCUCCCGGCUUAACUGGGAGGGUGCGCCGGAAACUGGAGUGCUUGAGCGCGGGAGAGGAAAGCGGAAUUCCUGGUGUAGCGGUGAAAUGCGUAGAUAUCAGGAGGAACACCUGUGGUGUAGACGGCUUUCUGGACCGUAGCUGACGCUGAGACACGAAAGCGUGGGGAGCAAACAGG